rnacentral:rRNA from 1 species
CCUACGGGAGGCAGCAGUGAGGAAUAUUGGUCAAUGGACGAGAGUCUGAACCAGCCAAGUAGCGUGAAGGAUGACUGCCCUACGGGUUGUAAACUUCUUUUAUAUAGGAAUAAAAUGUUACACGUGUGGGUUUUUGUAUGUACUAUAUGAAUAAGGAUCGGCUAACUCCGUGCCAGCAGCCGCGGUAAUACGGAGGAUCCGAGCGUUAUCCGGAUUUAUUGGGUUUAAAGGGAGCGUAGGUGGGUUGUUAAGUCAGUUGUGAAAGUUUGCGGCUCAACCGUAAAAUUGCAGUUGAUACUGGCAGUCUUGAGUACAGUAGAGGUGGGCGGAAUUCGUGGUGUAGCGGUGAAAUGCUUAGAGAUCACGAAGAACUCCGAUUGCGAAGGCAGCUCACUAAACUGCAACUGACACUGAGGCUCGAAAGUGUGGGUAUCAAACAGGAUUAGAUACCCGAGUAGUC